rnacentral:rRNA from 1 species
AGCAGUAGCCACGGUAAUACAUAGGGUGCGAGCGUUAAUCGGAUUUACUGGGCGUAAAGCGUGCGUAGGCGGCUUUUUAAGUCGGAUGUGAAAUCCCUGAGCUUAACUUAGGAAUUGCAUUCGAUACUGGGAAGCUAGAGUAUGGGAGAGGAUGGUAGAAUUCCAGGUGUAGCGGUGAAAUGCGUAGAGAUCUGGAGGAAUACCGAUGGCGAAGGCAGCCAUCUGGCCUAAUACUGACGCUGAGGUACGAAAGCAUGGGGAGCAAACAGGAUUAGAUACCCGCGUAGUCCCUGUCUCUUAUAA